rnacentral:rRNA from 1 species
UACAGAGGUCUCAAGCGUUGUUCGGAUUCAUUGGGCGUAAAGGGUGCGUAGGUGGCGGGGUAAGUCAGGUGUGAAAUCUCGGAGCUCGACUCCGAAACUGCACUUGAUACUGCCUUGCUCGAGUACUGGAGAGGAGAUUGGAAUUUACGGUGUAGCAGUGAAAUGCGUAGAUAUCGUAAGGAAGACCAGUGGCGAAGGCGAAUCUCUGGACAGUUACUGACACUGAGGCACGAAGGCCAGGGGAGCAAACGGG